rnacentral:rRNA from 1 species
AUGUCCAUAAACCUGGAAAAUGUGAAGGACACCUCCUCGGUGACUCAUUUAGGAACCGUCAGAAUGUUUUUUCCCUUUUGCUUUUUUGCAACCGUCAGUAUGGUUGCCAAGACUGACCCAUAUCAGAUUUUGCAGCAUAGUCUCGAACCAGUUUGGCAAGUGGGCCAAAAGUAUAUUCACAACUUUAUGUUCAUAACUGAAGUGAUCUUGGCUUCUUUCAUUUUGACAUGCAUCUCUUAUAAGUUGCAACACAUAAUGUCAUCGUUUCAUCCCAUUUAUCAUACUUCAGCACAUUAUCCUGAUGGAUUAGUACUGGUCCUGUAUUGA